rnacentral:tRNA from 1 species
GGAAAGGUGGUAGAGUGGUCGAUUACAGCGGUCUUGAAAACCGCCGUACCGCAAGGUACCGGGGGUUCGAAUCCCUCCCUUUCCGC